ACGGAAUUUAAAGGUUUUCAUUAACUCCUAGUAAAGUGGUACAGUCAAAAGAGUGGACGCAACUUGCAAAUUUCAGUCGCGCUUUUGUAAUAAGGGUCAGUCUGCUGGGAGAAUUACACUAUUCUUAUAAUAUCCAUUUCAGUCUUCACUCCCCUAAUUACUCUCAUUAGACCUCAGAAUCUACCUCCUCUCCAAUAAAUCCACACUCCAAGCAGUCUACUGAAGCUGGCAGCCCACAGAGACCUGACUGCCCACAGUUCAGUGCAAAGACAGGCUUGAAAGCUUGCCCCAAAACAGUCCCUCCCCAAGAUUUCUCCUGCCUUCUUUCUUCCCUAAUCAACUUGGUGAGCUCUCUCCUUUCUUUUUAUACAUCUGAGGCUUAUCUCUGAAAUAUUUCCUAAACAAAGAGAUUAGCGUCAUCAUCAUGCCCAUUUAAGGACAUCUUUUAAGUCCUCUUCACAAAUAGUGUAAUUUUCAUCCUACUUCUAAAUUCUCUCUCCUGCCUCUGGAACACAUUCCCCAUAUAUUCCCUGAGUUCUUCCUCAAGGGACUGGGCUGGUAGCUUUACAAUAAAUUUUCUACUUUCCCUUAGGAGCUCGUUCAUGUCCACAUUCUCUUUCUGCAGGGCAGAAUGUUCCACCAGGGAAUGCCAAGUUGAUUCUGUCUCCCUCAGAAAACUCCAUUCCUCCUGACAACUGGUUCCCAAUCCUGGUUGCACAGUCACAAGGAGUGGGGACUAUGAAAAAGUGUGCCAACCCUUGAAUCUGACAAGGAAGAUCAGUGAUGUCAUAACAGCAUUGUUUGGAUAUCAGCAUGCAUAUCCACCCAUGGGGUUCUGAAACAGAAAUGCAUAAGGAGCUUUGACAAGGACCCACUGUCUGGCCCCAUCUUCAGAGAUUCCAAUAGGUCUGGGGUGUGCACAGGCACUGGCGUCUUUAAAAUCUCCCUGUGUGAAUUCAACAUGCAACCAGGAUUGAAUGGAGAACUGCUGCUCGAAGUUUGAUAAUGAGGUGAUAAUGAGGAAGAACAUGCCUCAGCAAGUCAGAAAAAGGGGCUUAGGGGAGGGCCAGUGGCUCCUCCUUCGGCCAGGCCAGCUUUCUUCUGACAAGGACUUGUUUUCACAACUGUCCAGAUCCGCAGAUGGGCACAAGGUAUGUACUGUCGCCGUCACGGUAACAGACCCAAACAGAGUCACAAGGAGUGGCGACUAUGAAAAAGUGUGCCAACCCUUGAAUCUGACAAGGAAGAUCAGUGAUGUCAGAACAGCAUUGUUUGGAUAUAAGCACGCAUAUCCACCCAUGGGGUUCUGAAACAGAAAUGUUCUUCAAUGUAUUGUCAAUACCAGUAUUACCAACUCAGACCAUUCUAGCUUUCCUAUCAUGGCACAUUAAGUGACUUAAACUCCAAAUAAUUUCCAAGGAAGGUUGAUCUGUUACCUAAAAGAAGACUAAAGUAGGAAUUUCAAUACACAGUACAUCGUGCGACCAUUCCUCUGGUUAUCACAAAAAAGUAAAAUAUUUAACUGCCUCUGUGGAAGCUGUGGUAGAAUGGGACACACUACUGGCCAGGUGUGGUGGCUCACGCCUAUAAUCCCAGCACUUUGGGAGGCCCAGGCAGGCAGAUCACUUGAGGUCAGGAGUUUGAGACCAGCCUGGUCAACAUGGUGAAACCCUGUCUCUACUAAAAACACAAAAAAAUUAGCCAGGCAUGGUGGUGCACGCCUGUAAUUCCAGCUACUUGGGAGGCUGAGGCAGGAGAAUCGCUGGAACCUGAAAGACAGAGAUUGCAGCGAGCCGACAUCACACCACUGCACUCCAACUGGGGCGACAGAGCGAGACUCCAUCUCAAAAAAAAGAAAAAAGAAUGGGACACACUACUCCUUAGGCAACAGUGUUGGGUUCAUGUUUAUAGAUGAUGGAAUGAAGCAGCGGGGGACAACUUCUGGCUGGAGUGGCUUGGAGGCUGGAGCAGCUGAGCUUUAACAAGCAUCAGAGGUCAGAAUUACUUGGCUAGAUCAAGAAGCCACACAGCAUCAUAAUGCCGCUGGCACAUCUCCCAGAACAGGUUGGUUGAAUCCAUGGAUGAGAAACCUGCAGAUACCGAGGGCUGGCUUCAUUUAGAUUCCUAAUCAUUCCUCCAGGAUUCUGGGGCCAACAGUGAAUAAACCUGGUAAAAGGACACGAAUUCUGAGGUAAGCCCCCAACCUACUUUCCAGACUUCUCUCUGAAUCAUAUUAUCAAUACAUAUGUAGACGACACUCUGUUCCUCACAUUUCAUUUCCUCCCAGACACAAGCCACCCAGCACACUUCACCAUAAGACUGUCCAAUUUGGAAUAGAUCUAGUCAAAUGAACGCUAUUAUAGCUCCCUACACUUUAAACACAUCCUUACGCAACUCUAAUACAGUUUGUUUGACACAUCACCAGGCCCUGAUGAAGGUGCUCUGGGGUGUGAUUUCAGAGAUUCCAGGAAAGGCUCCUCUGGGUUACCUCAGUGGCUUUUCCAAACCUAUGCUGUUGUGUUACGCUGUUUAGUGCAAAUGUUAACUGGGUUGGGGGCACAUCUACAGAUGGGGCUGGGAUGUAUCCCUCAAGCAUCAGAGAACUGAGAAAAGGUGGAGAACUCUUGAUCUAGGGCCUGGGCCUCUGUUCAAGAGGCUGCCACAGGGAAUGUCUUAGGCUACUGGAGGGCCACACCAGAAGGCCGUGGGGGCUGGAUCUGAGAGAGCAGCUAAAGGAAAAAUAGGGUAUAAGAAUGGAGGAACAUGAGAGUCACACCUCACAACCUUGCCCAGGCCUGGUCUUAACCUGCAAACUCCUUAUAGGUAGAGGCAGGGCUGCUUUAACAAACAUUUCUUACCUACAACCCACUAUCCUGCCUGGCAUUCAUUAAGCAUUAGUUAAAUAAUGAUUAAGCAUCCUAGAAAGUGGCCUGGCAACUGCAGCCUAUUCCCCACUUCAGGGAGAAAGAUACUACAUGCAGAAGAGGCUUUACUUUUCUGAAAAGGAUGUUUACUUCUGCUCUCAGCUUUUGGCAAUUGGAAGAUAACAUGGUUUAGUACAAAAAAACAUAUGCACUGAGAUCAGAAAGACUGAGUUAAACACAAACUACAAUACCUCAAGCCCCUUAAACCUCAGCUUUAAUAACAGAAAAACAGGAAUAAUCCCCAUCUUGCCAGGAUUUAGGUAGAAUGACUUAAUGGUGCUCAAUAAACAGCUACCGUGGCUCCUACAAAAAUGAGAGGGGCCUGAAAGAAGACAGCGAAGCUGGAAAUAAGAUCCCUCAGGGCUGAAAUAAGAAUUUUAGGAUUCUUUUUUUUAAAAAAAGAGCAUAUGCAUGUCAAAAUAUCACAAUAUGAGGCUGGGUGCACUGGCUCCUCUUGUAAUCCCAGCACAUCGAGAGGAAAAGGAGGGUUAAUCACUUGAGGCCAGGAAUUUGAGACCAGCUUGGGCAACAUGG
rnacentral:lncRNA from 1 species